GGGGGUAUAGUAUAGCUUGGUAGUACCGCGGGCUCCAAUUGCACGGGGAUGACGACAAGUGGGUUUGCUGACAAUUGAUGAACAAUUGGAGCGCCGACCCGUGAGAACCGAGAACUGAAGCCUUUUCACGAACGCUGAAGUCAGAAGAAACCCGCUAGGGGGGGUUCAAAUCCCUCUGCCCCCA
rfam:Euryarchaeota archaeon TMED103 22141, whole genome shotgun sequence.